rnacentral:tRNA from 6 species
GCCGAUGUAGCUCAGCUGGCUAGAGCAGCUGAUUUGUAAUCAGCAGGUCGUGGGUUCGAGUCCCUCCAUCGGCUCGA